UACGUAGGGUGCGAGCGUUAAUCGGAAUUACUGGGCGUAAAGCGUGCGCAGGCGGUCCGCAAAGUCUGAUGUGAAAGCCCCGGGCUCAACCCGGGAACUGCGUCCGAUACUGGGAGGCUUGAAUCCGGGAGAGGGAUGUGGAAUUCCAGGUGUAGCGGUGAAAUGCGUAGAUAUCUGGAGGAACACCGGUGGCGAAGGCGGCAUCCUGGACCGGUAUUGACGCUGAGGCGCGAAAGCCAGGGGAGCAAACGGG
rnacentral:rRNA from 1 species